rnacentral:lncRNA from 1 species
CUACGAUGCUUUUGUCUGGAGCCGCAUAUGUACGUAAUCUGACGCCGCAAGGACGCAAACGGGCAAAGGUUCCGAAAGCGAAACUUUAACAUGUUUUCGGUAGCCCAGCUCUCACUGCCACACUGUAACCUAUGAAUAAAGCACUAAAUCGUGUUGGGGUAACUGAAUAUGCAAUAAAACUUAGACGCAGGGAUGCACUUCGCGCAUCAGAGCUCCGAUAGCGGCAUAAUGCAAAUAUAUCCCUUGAUUGGUGCUGGAGUUACAUCUUCCUUUUACACUGCCAUUUCGGCGCCCUCGCGUGCUACUUCAAUGCCGCACUGCGAAACCGUACUGCACGACCUCUACAUGUUCUGUAAUGCGUUACCAAGGACUAUAGCCAUGAAGAUAGAAGUUGGCCUACAUUUUGGCUAGGAAAUUACAAAAGGAGGUCCAUGGUAAGGCCGUGUCCAAAAGAAUCACUGUAAUCAUAACCCCGACCGUGCUCCGCCUGUGUGGACUGCACCCUGCGAAGAUUUGAACCAGAGGUAUAGUAGGGUAUGUUAUAUCCACGUGCACUGUAUUCCAAAGCUCAUAGGUCUACGUCAAAACCCCUCCCAACUGGCUGAGAAAGUAGAGCGGAACAUCGCUCAAGUAAUCCUUUUAGCCCUGCCAGCGACUGGAUAAAUACCUCUUUGGCCGAGUGGAAAGGUCAUUGGCGGUACACAUUGUUCUGCCGUACGAUUACAUGAUGGGCAGACUUCAUGCAACAAUUAAUAACAAUGGGUCAAGGAGCAGUUAAAUAUUGGCUACAUGUAUGUUGUCUUAUCUGUGAGAAGAAACAUUUUCACAGUCAAUCGAAGCUAAGUUUUGAGGUCGCCACUUGGAGACGCUCUCUCCCUUACUGCACCAUCAAAUUGUGCGAAGAAUGACUAUGCGAAGGCCAAGGUUGUAUCUAGUAUCUUCCUUCCUAGGCGGAGUUUAAGGAGCUGAGGAGCUGCAUACGGCCUGUACGCGCGCUCGUGAAGUGGACUUCAGAUUCUAUGCACGAGGCGCCUCAUCCGCUGUAAAAAUAUAUACUGUAUGAGCGGUUUACGCCGUAUACGCCAUUACUGGCAGGAGGGCAAGGUAUGGAGAGCCUCAUGCG